rnacentral:lncRNA from 1 species
CGGAGUAACGGCAGCCGAGCCCCGUCAGCCUUUGCCGAGGGCCACCCGUCAGGCCCUCGGUAAAAGUUUUUAAUUUUUUUUUUACAAAAUUCUUUGCCGAGGGCCUUUCCUCUGGCCCUCGGCAAAGAAUUUUUUUUUGAUUUUUGAGUCUAAUUUUUUUGUGGGCACAAAUCACAUUAUUUUAAACACAAUUUUAAAAAUUGGCACAAAUUUCACUUUUUUAUAUAUAUUUCUUGAAUUUAUUUCAAUUCGUCGUAAUUUUCCCGCUGUUAUAAAUUUGAACUGCAGGUGCAUGAUAUAAUUAACUGUAGUCUUUCAAAAAAUGUUAUUCAUGUUAUUUGAUGUGUGUGGAGUCCCUACGCACAAACUGGAAUCAAAUUCCGCGCAUCUUUUACGCGUGACAUGAUUAGCCACUUCUUAGAAAAUUGAUUUAAAAUUAUAUUAAAUCUAUACGAAGUCUGAAAAUCACGAAACUUGACGAGGCUUCAUAUUGACACAUGUGUAGGCUUUGGUAAAAAAUUCAAUCGUUUUCGAGUAAAUUGCGACGUCAGAUGUCCAAAACACAGACAUCUCCACAUG